GUCUUCGUGGCUCAGUCAGUAGAGCGUUGAUAUCAUAUCAUGCGUCGUUAUGACUCUGGCAUUAGGCAGGGAUGUCCAAAGGUCGAGAGCUCGAGCCUCUCUGAGGACA
rnacentral:tRNA from 1 species